GGAGGAUCAAACAAAGGCAACAAUCCAACAAACUGCCAUGGGCCUCCUGGACUAUCCUUUGUUUUCUCAGGUACUUCCUGUCUUGCAACAGCUAAAGAACGAAGCCCACGUUCAGCAAACUUAUCAAUCACACCAUGAACCUUCUUCUUGACAUCCUCCUUGCUAUUGCAUAGGGCUAAUAUCUGCUCAGGGGCACCCUUGCUAGCUCGGUGCCAGUUUCCAUCAGAAUCAAUGUAUGUAAGGGCAGUUCUCUUGUCUACAGGAUUGAAUGGAAGAAAAUGGACCUCUCUAAUACCAGCUCUUGCCUCCUUUGGGUCUGCAAGCAUCCCUACAAUUGCACAAUCAAUCGCAUCCUGAUUCUCAGUUCUUGAAGCUCUAGCUGCAAGAAGUAUCACAUACUCUUUAUCCACGCCCUUUGCAAAUACUUCAAUCAGGGUCCUAUCAACAGUAA
rnacentral:misc_RNA from 1 species